UACGUAGGGGGGCAAGCGUUGUCCGGAAUCAUUGGGCGUAAAGAGCGUGUAGGCGGUUCGAUAAGUCUGCUGUGAAAGUCCAAGGCUCAACCUUGGGAUGCCGGUGGAUACUGUCGAACUCGAGUCCGGAAGAGGAGUGUGGAAUUCCUGGUGUAGCGGUGAAAUGCGCAGAUAUCAGGAGGAACACCAAUGGCGAAGGCAGCACUCUGGGACGUGACUGACGCUGAGACGCGAAAAGCGUGGGGGAGCAAACAGG
rnacentral:rRNA from 1 species